GUGGGGAAUAUUGGACAAUGGGCGCAAGCCUGAUCCAGCCAUGCCGCGUGAGUGAUGAAGGCCUUAGGGUUGUAAAGCUCUUUCAGUAGGGAAGAUAAUGACGGUACCUACAGAAGAAGCCCCGGCUAACUUCGUGCCAGCAGCCGCGGUAAUACGAAGGGGGCUAGCGUUGUUCGGAUUUACUGGGCGUAAAGCGCACGUAGGCGGAUUGGUCAGUUAGAGGUGAAAUCCCGAAGCUCAACUUCGGAACUGCCUUUAAUACUGCCAGUCUCGAGUCCGGAAGAGGUGAGUGGAACUCCUAGUGUAGAGGUGGAAUUCGUAGAUAUUCGCAAGAACACCGGUGGCGAAGGCGGCCAACUGGUCCAUUACUGACGCUGAGGUGCGAAAGCGUGGGGAGCAAACAGGAUUAGAAACCCUGGUAGUCC
rnacentral:rRNA from 1 species